rnacentral:lncRNA from 1 species
AAUCAAUUCAAGAUAUAUAUAUAAGUAUAUAAGACGGAAAUGCAAUGCAUAUCCAAAGUCUCAAAUUCUUGUUAACAAGACAUCCUUCAAUCUAUUUGGAAAAGGAAACAAAUUAGCUGGGAGCAGAAAUCUAUAAGUAAAGGUAAACUAUAAUGCAACAGCAAAGGAAAUAACUUAAAAUACAAUAUAAAUUGCUUAAUAUACAGUGUGGUGCAAAUCAGAAGAACCCUGUGCUCAAAUUUUCUUCAAACUGUAUCUAACUUUUUUUUCAUUUAAUUUGUAGUUUGUUAAGGAGAGAUAUUAAACGCAUUUUGUGCUCAAAACAUUUAACAUUUUGUAUUUGUUUACUGUUUAUUGGGUGAGCAAUCGGACUACCACAUUAAUUCAUACGAAAAAUCACGUAAAGUAUUUGACACACUAACAUACCAUAUGAAUUGGACUUGUUUCCUGCUGUGGAAGUCAGAUGAAGAGGCUGAAAACUUGGGGCAGCUACUCACAAAGAACUCUUCCAAUUCAGGACACACAAUAUCAAAAGUAUCACUUUCAUAGUACAACAUUGGAAGUACCUCCAAAUGUAAUCGCUUCAAUUUUGGAAGGACGGUCUUCUUGUUGCUUGCUUCAACUAUCCUUUCCAACAGAGGGCAAUUCUUGAAUUUUAAGGAAUUCAGUUGGGAAAGACACUGAGCAACAUCAUAGGUGAAGAGACUUCCAUCUGACUUGCACCACUCUAUGGACAAACUUUGAAGAUUCUGGAACAUUGCAGGUGGGAGUCGAGAAGGUCCAUCACAUAUGCUAACUGUGGACAAUGCUAUCUUUCUCAGUCUCCAUUGUUCCCAUGGAAACCAACAACCCUUCAGAGACAUGUUCUCCAAUGAAGGACACUCAAUAUCAAAAGUAGCACUUUUGUAUAACAUUGGAAGUUCCGUCAAACUUAAUUGCUCCAACUUUGGAAGGAUUAUCUUCUUGUUGCUUGCUUCAACUAUCCUUUCCAACAAGGGGCAUACUGCUAAUUCUAAGGAAUUCAACUGAAAAAGACACUGAGCAACAUCAGAGGUGAAGAGACUUCCCUCCAACUUGCAUUUGGUAAUGGACAAACUUUGAAGAUUCUGGAGCAUCGCAGGCGGAGCAGGUCCCUCACAUAUGCUUACUGUUGCUAGAGCAAACAAUUCUAUCUUUUUCAACUUUAAUUGUUGCAACACAAGCAAGGCUUCAUACCCAAACAUAUAUUCACUCCCGUCCGUCUGACAAACAAUUAAUACUUCCAAAUUUGGUAGUCUAUGUAACAAUGUUGACGGUAAAAGUAUAUUCCACCAGUUGUAACAAUAUUCUACCUUCAAUACCUUCAACUUGAAUAGAGACCCACAUGGUAGAAAUUGAACGGCACGUAACUCUGCACAAUCCAGUCCCUCCAUAUACAACUCUUCCAAAUUCUCGAACACAGGCUUUCUUGGAACCCAUGUUAUUGCAGGAUCCACCUCCGUGAUGUCUCGACUGCUGUAACCCACUAUAUGCAGAUGCUUCAGUCUCUGUAGCCUCCCAUGCUCAGAUUCCACAAAUAUGUCGAUUAACCUGUGGCACCAAGAGUCGGAAAAUGUCUCUGCUUUCUUCAUUAUCUCGUCACGAAACCACUCCGGUAAGUGACUGAUCAUGACAUCCAAGAGUAUUGAGAUAUGACGAUGUCGAUCAUAUAACUUCGUCUUGUAUGGCUCGUAUAAACCACCGAUACAUAUAUCAAACUCAACCAAAUUCAUUUUCUGCUCAACAUAUUUAGGGAUAUGUUCAACACCCCUGAUAGUAACCUUCAAAACUCUUAAUUUUGACAAGCUAGUUACCUCGUCAAAGCUAGCAUUAGUAAAGGUAUCAUUGACUUCUCCUUCUUCUCCCUCAGCGUUAAGCUCCAAGCACUCCCACUCCCAAAAUCCUUGCAUAGUUACCUCGUCAAAGCUAGCAUUAGUAAAGGUAUCAUUAACUUCUCCUUCUUCUCCCUCAGCGUUAGGCUCCAAGCGCUCCCACUCCCAAAAUCCUUGCAUAUACAGUUCUUCUAAAUUAUGCAACUUUGAUAACAGUUUGGAGGGAAUUCUAGAAAUAUGUUCACCAGUAAUAUCCAACAUCCUCAGAUUGGUCAAACCUCCUAUUUCUACCGACAACUCAUACAGACGUGAAUUUCUCAUACUCAGCAUCUCAAGCUUUUUAAGUUUUCCCAGUAUGGAAGUGUCAAUGCUUAGAUGGUCACAAUUAUCUAAAUACAAAGCUGUGAGGUUGGUUAGGAGACCUAAUGAUUUGGGCAGUAAUGAAAGGCUAGUAGUCCAGCUAAGAUCUAAUACCCUUAAUUCAUUUGGACAUUGGAAGAAUGUUUCUGGUAUAUGUUCUAAAAAGAUAUUAUGGUUUAGUAACAAAAUCUGGAGUUUUGGACAUACCAGAUUUUUGGGAAGCUCCCUGAUAUAAUUCCUCAUUAGUGAGAUUGCAAGGUAGCCUUUAUGUAAAUUACGUGGCCAAUCCUCUAAACGACAGCCGGCUUUCACAAAAAACUCAUCUUCAGAUAGCACAAUUUGAAUGGCUGCAUCCCGGACAACUUCAUGCAUCCUUACAAAUCCAUCUGUUUUACUAUCCAAAAGCAAGCAAGAAUAUUUAAGAUGCUUGACAACGGAAUCAACUUGCUUUCUUGCCUCCAAGAGUGUUUCGGCAUCUCGAAACAAUCUUGUCCUGAUCCCAUACCUGAACAAGUCUUUUAUAGGGAUGCCAUAGUCUUCUGGGAAUAAGCAACAAAGUAAGAAGUAUGACUUGUAGUCCUCAUUUUUCAAGUAAUCAUAGCUUAAUUUUAUGCAUUUUGUUGCUUCUCCAUAAUCGUCAGGGUUGGCAGUUCGCGACUUCUUUAGCCGGAGAGCUGCUAUCUCCCAUUCCACCAACUCUUUAUCUCCGAGCGCCCUUGCAACUGUGACCAAUGCAAUCGGUAGACCUCUACAUUCUCCAGCAACCUUCUUUGCCACACCCUCGAAAGUGGACGACUCAAAAGACCUUCUUACUUUACUCACAAACAAGGCCCAAGAAUCUUGUUCUGAGAGAAUGUUGAGUGUGAUCUUUCUUUGGCACUCCAUGGCAUGACAAACAUUCCUUAUCCUUGUGGUGAGUAGGAUUUUGGAAUUACACUUUUGAAGUUCCUUGUGGCUUGGAAUUCCUACUCUUGAUAACUUCAUUCCCUCCCAAAUAUCGUCCAGGAUUAUAAGAAUCUUUGUUCGUCUCAUUAUCUCCUUAUGCAACCUAGUGGAUCUUCCAAUUUCUGUUUCCUCAUGUAAUUUGAAGCCCAACUGCUCUGCCAAUGCGUCUUGAAGGAUUUCAAAACCAGGAUUUUGGGAUACGACACACUUAGUCACAUAAUCAAAACUCCCACUUUUCCGAGCUUGUGCACCGACAUGUUCCACCAAGGUUGUCUUGCCCACACCUCCCAUGCCGUAGACACCAACGGCAGUGACCUCGUCAUCUUUAAGGGCCUUCAUAACCUCAUCCAUGGCUACUCUUGUUGCUUCAAAUGCUUGGAAAUCUGCUGUGGACUCAAUUGCCUCAGGUACUGCCCUACUGAUGAGAACAUCCACAAUGGCGUUAACAAGUUCUUUGUGAGUCCUACAAGCAGAAAUUUAAUUAAAAGUCAGAAAUGAGUAAACUAUAUAUGGAAAACCGCAGUUAUUGCACAACGCUUACUUAUAAUUCUGCGUAUUCCACCCGGAUAUAUUGGCCACUUUGUUUAAAGCAGCUUUCCAAUGAUUCACCUUCUCUGAUUCAUAUCUCCCAGAGCUUUCAUGUUUAGAGAAAGCUUCUUCGAAACUCUGCUUCUGAUAUCGAACAUCAGUAGGCUCAACAUGAUAAAAAAGUGGAAAAAUUCUGUUGUCUUCCAUGGAUAGACAAAUCUCUCUAAGUUCCUCCAAACACCAAGUAGAAGAAGCAUAAUUUUGCGAGAGAACAACAAUUGCAAACCUUGACCCUUCAAUUGCUUCUAUGAGCGUGCGAGAAAUAGUGUCCCCGACUUUAAGAUCUGGAUCAUCCAUGAAUGUUUUAAUGCCUCUCCGAUUGAGUCCAUCGUAUAUGUCGAUUGUGAUACCCUUGCGAGUGUCAACGCCCCUGAAACUCAAAAACACAUCAUACCUCCAACAUGGAUCUGAAGGAGGAGGAUAUGCACAGGGUAUUUGGGAGCUGGAGGCCAUUGGAAACCACCAAAUCAAAACAAGAGGCAAUCAAGAACAGGAAAUAAAAAACUGCAAGAACAAGGUCUCUCAAGUAUUGGCAGGUACAAAGAAACUUUUAAAGCCAAAUGAAGAAACCAUGAAACAAAGGGUGUUGAAGUCUGAAGUCCGAACAGCAUGAAACCAAGUUUCAUAGACUUGUGCAAAGUCUAGACAAAAUGGCAUCUUGGAUUUGUUCAAACUAAUACUAUUAAAUCUGCACUCGCUGCCAGCUAAAAUAUAAUAACAUGUUAGGUAAAGCUUCAUACUAAAAUACUAAAAUAACAGGAGGCUUGGUUUUUCGUCAUCUCGUGAAGGUUUUAUUUGGAGCAAUACUUUUCCAGUGUUUCAUAAUUGAGUGCAUUUCUAAUAUAUCAAUUAUGCAUAUGUAGAUGACCUUUAGGGAUUGAUCUUAAUCAUGAAACGUACGAUUACUUAAGAUUUGGCUUCCCCAAUGUGUAUCUAAAUCAAAUCCCACUUGCCCAAUCUGCGGAAUUGCAGAAGAGAGCUCAUGGGUGGAGUUGAGAAUCAACAAAUUGGUUCUAUACGUGUAUCAAGAAUGCAACAAAUAGGAACAUUGAGUAUACACACUUACAGUAACUAGCCUCAUUUGCUGGUCCAUUUUUCGUGUCCUCUCCAUCGCCAUGGAGCUCGUUGCUUCCCUGCAUGCAACUGAAAUCAUCAUCGAAUCAGAUUCGAAAAAGCUUUAUUGAGGAAUUGAACAAUAAUCAUGAGAAGAUUAAUUUGAAGAAGACUCAGCUUUUAACUUGAGUGAUUGCAAUUGGGAUUUGAUGGGCUGCCUUGCCCACAGACGCCAGAGCGGUUUGAGCUCGACUUCUCUGGUCGGUAGGAGCUCUUCAAUUAUGAUUAAGACUUUUUAGUCUGGACUUGGCAAUGGGCAAGGCCCAUUUACUCCUCAAGUCCGACCCGGAUGACCCAAUUCUUAAACAGAGAAGCCUCACUCCCUACUCCCUAGUAAAGCUUCAACCUUUCACUGUUCCCAACCCAAGUCUCAAAACCCUUCAAAGCUUAAGGUUUUCACUCUCCAGUGCUCCUCCGCCUCCGCUAAUGCCGUAUCAGGUAAACCCAAUUUCGCUACUCAGCCUACUCUGCUCUCAUUGUUCUCUCUAGGACUUGUAAAGAUUCAAUUUUUAUGUGAUAAUGGUUUCCAGUUUUCUCUGAGGUUGAUUUAUAAAUGACAUGGAUUACCUGUGAAGAGUUGCCGGUGACCGGACCGUGCCGGUUGGGGUGAGAAUGAUGGUUGCAUGACUGAAAAUGUGAGUGUUAAUUUUUUUAUUUUUUUUUGUUGAAUGAAUGAAAUUGGUAAAGCAUUGAAUGCUUUGUAGGUUGGGAAAAAUUACUUGUACCCGGAGUAGAAGCAAGAGCUCAUUACGGUUUCACAGUUUCUUGAUAGGAUUCGGGUUAAUGGUUCUUCCUCUGGUGCCCCGACUUAUCUUGCUCAGCACUCAUUGUUUGAUCAGGUUCGUUACAAUUGUGAUAUGCAUGUAUGCUUGGAUAUACAUUGUUAUCUUUUAAUUAUUUGAUAUAACUCUGAUUGUCAGAUAAACGAGCUGCGUGAGGACGUAUGUGUUCAAGCUUGGUUUGGUCUACAAAUGCUUGGUUUGGUCCAGCUGGGACUAUAACCCCUUUACACCAUGAUCCGCACCAUAAUGUGUUUGCUCAGGUACUUCAGAGUUGGUUUUCUGCAUUGAACAAUAUUUACCAUGAUCUUUGGCUUUGAGAGUUUUAUAUUCAUUACGAACAUUCUGGUUGUUGUUUUUAGGUUUUGAGUUAUCAUCUUUGAAUUCUGCUUAGAUAUUCUGUUUCUAUUGGAAAAUUGUGAGACUGAUUAAUCAGGGCUAGCCAUAGAAGUAGCACUCCUUUGUUCAAUUGGUUACUCCUUUAAAUUAUAGUUUACCUGUCCUGUCUCCAUAUCCAAGCUGUGAUGUCCAUAACCAGCCCCUACCUUGUUCAACUAGAAAUCAAAGAUCUGUAAACAGUAAAUAUCCAUGUCCACUGACAUGAAUAGAGAAUCUGAUAAUUUUUCUAGUACAUACCUAGAUCAGAUGUGCACGCCUCCAUUUGUUGCAAAGACUGCGAUUUGUAGCGGUUCAUGGAAUUUCUCUGUUUUAACUUCUAAAUGCAGAGCUAUUUUACCAUGCAUAUAUAUCUCAGGCAUAAUAGUUCCAUAUACAAAAGCAUAUGUCGUAUGCAUGUACUUCCAGAUGGCAUGUGUGUUUGUAUAUAGCUGCAUAUUUUGGCAAGUUACUUGCUUCUAUGAUCAAACGUCUAUGUGACUCGGAUUGAUCGCUCAACUUCAGGUAGUUGGGAAGAAGUAUAUAAGGCUCUAUCGUGCUUCAUUAUCAGAGGAACUCUAUCCACAUACGGAAACCAUGCUUUGUAACUUGAGUCAGGUAAUUGCAUUCUUGACCUCAUUCAAGUAAGGAAAAGCCCCUAAACAAAUUUGUCAAGAAGGCAGAUUCUAACAGUACACCCUUAUUUGCAUAUGAUUUCAUGCGCCAAGGUUAUACAUGCUUUUUAAAAAAAUACCGAGUCAUGCUGGGAUAGAAGAUUUGUGAUUACUAGUCAGUUCCUCCCAGUGAACCUGUCACUGUCAUAUUCUUGGAAAUAUCUCAUAAGCUGAAAUUGGUGGAUAGUUUAUAUAGUGGCAGUUACAUUUUAGUUACACUUAUUCAUAACUUAUAACUUAUCUAGGUUACAGACGGAACUUAGUUGCUAAAAACUGAAAUGUUGAUAUUCCUGUCAGCUUCUUUAUGUGAACUCAAUAAACAUAAUAUUAUAUAUUUACUGAUUGAAUAUACUUUGUUUGAAGGUUGAUCUGGACAACAUAGAUGAGAAAGAAUUCCCCAAGGUGCAGGACUUGGAAUUUCUCGACUGCAUUUUUUAGAGGAAGGUGACAUGCUGUAUAUCCCACCAAAGUGGUGGCACUAUGUGCGGUCUCUGACAACAAGUAUGUCAGUUAGCUUUUGGUGCAGUGAUUACGAUGGUUCAGCUACUUCUUGAUAGUUUGUGGUUAAUUCAUUUUGAUAUUGUUAGACAGGGCAGUUUUCAGUUGCAGAGUCUUAUAUUCUCAUGUAUAUAUCCUGCGGUGUUAUAUUUACAAUAAGACUUAUAGAUGUCUGAAGAAGAAGAAACUGUUUGUAACAAUUUUGAGAAUAGUGCUUUAACAUCUUUCUCGGGUCACAGUCUGUAGCCAUACACUUGCAAAGUUACUUAUCCAUUGUAUCGUAAUUGAGUUUGUUUCAAUCAAUAUGGUUCAUACAUUUUUGUGUUAUGGAGUUCAGUUUUUGAUUAAUCUACAUCACAAAAAGAUAACUUCAGAUUUGGCAUCUUUAUUUUGAUCAUCUUCAUGUAAAUGGAAUUGUUUUUCUUUCAAGGAUGAAUUUGAAAAGCAGUCUUUCAUAGUUUCCAUAGAAAGACUUGUAAGUUGUAUUCAUCUUCAUCCUUCAUAGCAUCCUCGAUAGUUUCUUUUGACUUACAAGCUUGGUUUUUAGUCACAUCCCUUUUCAUUACCAACUUCUGUGCUCAUCUGGUUUAACCAGUAGUAGGAAUGAUAUAUGUUUUUGGGUUUUGGCCCUAUAUGCCUUCACGUCACUGCUCUUCUCCCCUUGCACACAAACUUCAACCUGCUCCUCCAUGUACUUGGGCAUUCUGAGAGCUUCUCAUCUUACGGAGAACUUACAAUCUCAAACAAGUAUGCGAAUAGGUAAAUGCAUAUUAUGUACGCUCAUAUCAAAAUUGAGGAAUUUACACAAGGAAUAUCAAUUACAUCUGAUUUUCCUUAUUAUCAAAUCAACAAUGGAUACAGAUGCACGUCUGAAAGACGUAGAACCAGGAAGAAGAUAUAAAGUGGCAAAAUGAAAAUAUAUAAAUUUAUUAUCCACAACAGAGUUAUACAACUUCACAAUCAAAUGCGGGAUAUUCUUCUGGGCCACGGAAGGUCUCUGCGGUGUAUUGAUUGCAAUUAGUCCUCUGUCCACCUAUUAAAAUCAAUUCAAGAUAUAUUUAAGUAUAUAAGACGGAAAUUCAAUGCAUAUCCAAAGUCUCAAAUUCUUGUUAACAAGUCUAUUUGGAAAAGGAAACAAUUAGCUGGGAAGCAAAGGUAAACUAUAAUGCAACAGCAGAGGAAAUAACUGAAAAUACAAUAUAAAUUGCUUAAUAUACAGUGCGGUGCAAAUCA